GGCGGGAGCUCGGUGGCCCUGCCUGCUUAUUGGCAGCAGGUCCCGGUCACCGCUAUAAAGCCAAAGCCUGACCAGCCUUGGCCAGUGGGCCUCUGACCCUGGUAGCCCACCCUCAGAGGAGCCACCUCCCUGGAGACCAGCAAGGGACAUCGACUCAUUUCGAAGUAGAGGCGGUCACUGAGGCCCGGAGAAGUGAAGACAGCCCAGCAGAGGAGUGGGCGAGGGGAGGAUUAGAACCCACGACGUCUGACUCCCAUUCUUACUCCAUUGCACUUUCCGGGCUUGGCACAUAAUGCGGUCCCGGAGGCCCGGAGCGGCGACGACAGCUCAGCAGAGGAGCGGGCGCGGGGAGGAUUAGAACCCACGACGUCUGGCUCCCAAGCCCGGGCUGCUUUUUUUCCCCGGCUCCCGGAGGGAAAAGGGUCGGUGCAGGGAGGUGCAGGGAGGUGCAGGGAGGUGCAGUGCGGUGCAGGGAGGUGCAGGGAGGUGCAGUGCGAUGCGGUGGCUGGAGCGGCUGCGGCAGGGCGGGGCGGGCCGGUCCCGGGCGGGGCGGGCCGCAGCCUGGGCCUCCGCCUCCGGCAGGGUGCUGACCCCGGCCGCCAUCCCCGAGUUCUGCAUCCCCCCGCGACUGCGGGG